rnacentral:rRNA from 1 species
GUCCUUAGUUACCAGCACGUAUGUGGGCACUCUAAGGAGACUGCCGGUGACAAACCGGAGGAAGUGGGGAUGACGUCAAGUCAUCAUGGCCCUUACGGCCUGGGCUACACACGUGCUACAAUGGUCGGUACAAAGGGUUGCCAAGCCGCGAGGUGGAGCUAAUCCCAUAAAACCGAUCGUAGUCCGGAUCGCAGUCUGCAACUCGACUGCGUGAAGUCGGAAUCGCUAGUAAUCGUGAAUCAGAAUGUCACGGUGAAUACGUUCCCGGGCCUU